UGUAAUUACUAUAGUUUUUGAUUUGAUAAUAACAACCAAUGAUAAUUAUUGUAAUAAUUUAAUAAUGAUUAUACUUAUUUAAAAAAAAUAUUAUUACUAUGAUUAAUGGCAAAAUAAUGGGGGCUAGCCAGAAAAUAUGGGGCCUGUGUGGGCUUUUCUGUGGACAAAAAAACCCUAAUGGGGCCAAAAAGGGCAAAGUCAUAGGGGGCGCGCAUGGGCUAGCCCAUAUGUGCCCUGUUUAUGUGGGUUGACCCACAAAAAACCCUCAUGGGGCCCAAAAGGGCAGUCUUAGGGGGCCCACAUGGGCUAGCCCAUAUGGGCCCUGUUUGGUUUUUUCUGUGGGCAAGCCCGUAGUAAACCCAUAUAGGGCCAUCAAAGGGCAAACUACUGUGGGCCCCACAUGGACUAACCAGCAUUGGGCCUAGAUGGGGUUUGGUGUGGGUUUCCCCUGCCCACACUGUCCCACAGUAUACCCACAGUGGGCCUGAACGGUCAUGUUUGCUGGGUCCUCGUGUUUUCGCUGAUUUCACAUUGUACACAAAUUCUGCCACUAUGUCUUUUGCCACUCAGUGGGCGUAACUGCAGUCACUUUCGCCGAUGUCAUUUUUCCAAGUGACCACGCCAGAGCACGCCCUGUUGAGUGGCAAACAUUCAACAAAAUGGCUGCUGCCAAAAUUCCAGUAAAAUGGACUAUUAUCAGCUUAAAUUGAAUAUAGUUGGCCUUAACAGUGACUCUAACAACUUGCCAAACAACCAGUAGUCCGUGGGUGAACAUUGGCAUAUGGCCAGACAUUGCUUUUCCUGAUGUAGCAGGAUUAGGUGAGCUGUGAUUGACAGCUGAUAUAUCCUAUCAGGAAGGGGCAGUCCCUUUUUAAGCGCUGAUUGGCUGCUCCUUGGAAUGCGUCAUGUCCUGUGUUUCCCCGGGGUGUUUGUAACGAUAGCGACAGUGUGUUGUUUGUCCAGCGUGCUGGUGCCUUUCUACGUGUAGUGGUACAUGACUGUGUAACCUCAGUUGGCUGCUGGUUGAUCUGCUGUGGGUUAAACUACGCCGUAAAACUGUAAUUUGUCUGGGGUGAUACCACUAUUCGGGUUCUCCCUUUUGUUCUACGUCCUGUUCCUCGUGAGUGUUUGAUUCUUGUGCUUCUGAGUAGCAUCGCUGUAACAUCGACUUUAUCCUCCCCGCUGUAUGCUGGACUGUACACUGUCUGGUUCCUAAGUUUCAGGGUUGAAUUUUAAGAUCCGAGUGAAGGAGUGUCCGGUGCAUUUGGAGUUGACAAAUGGACUGUGGCGUUCGCGCAGUGUAGCUUCCCUUGCCGUUUACCCCUUUUGUUUCUUUUCUUUAUUUGUAUAUCAUUUUUGUCUGAAUAUUUGUAUAUUGUUUAUACUUUUAGGAGCUGAGGUUCCCACGGGUGGAUGGAUCUUAUGGUGGUAACGUUUCAACGUUUACCGUGUUACACAUUUUUGAAGUGUAUAAGUGUGUGCUUUGAGUUCACCGUGUGGUGUGAAAUUGUGCUUGUGGAUAACUUGCGCCAGAGAUCACUCCGGUGGGUAGCCUCAGCCCUGUAGGUUGGUACUGUGUUUAUUUGUUUGUGUAUUUGAUUUGUUGCCGGUCGUUGCAUUUUAGCAGUGAGGGCAUUUUACAUAAUGUUGUACGUGUUGUUUUUUUGUAUAAUUCUGUUUUGUGAUUAAUGUGAUAUGUAAUGUUUUGUGUCUUUAUUGUUAAAGUGUGACAGCUGGAGACCUGUUUUGAGCAACAUCAUCAUGUCUGUUUAAACCAUCCUUUUACCUUAUUAAAGUGGAUCAUGAAUAUUGUACAAUAAAUGAAUAUUUUUGUAUUAUACCCACGGCUCCUGCUCACUUUUACUGAGGAACGAACUUGUGCGCCUUACCGCCUUUUGGGUGUAAGGAUUAUUUCCCCGGGUGUAAUUCCCGGGGUGGCGUAGUCGGAGUUUUAUGAAAAAUCUUUGCUUUCGUCAUAAAGCUAUCCCCCAACCGCCCCCCAACCCCCCCCCCAUUGCCACACUGACAUAUACUGUCAUGAUUCUGCCAUCUUGUCCUUUGUUUAAUCGAGUCUUGUGGUAGGAUCAUGACAGACCCAUGUUUUGUGUGGGAUCACGUGGUCUUAGUAUUGGUUUUACUAGACCACGUGUUCCCUGUGUCUUGUCACUUUUACCCCGCUCCCUUGUCACCCUCAUUGUUUAAUCCAUGUCAUCUGUCGUAUUCAUUAGUUCUCCCCUAUUUAAGCUCUUUGUGUUUGUUACUCGGUGCCUGUUCAUUGUUGUUUCAUGCCUGUGAAUACUUUGUCUAAGUUAAGUCUAGUCAUAUUCAGUGUUUUGUGGAUUUAGUGUUCUGUCAGUUUAUUGUGAAGUGUUUUCCAGUUUAGUGUCUUAGUCUAGUCCUGUUUCCAGAGAAGUGUAUAUUCUGUCAUAUUAGUUAUCCUGUUUAUGUUGUUUUGCUCCCUCGUGGGCCUUUGUUUUCUGUUUAUCUAAAAGUGUUUGUGUUCAUCCACCUCUGUCUGCACUUGGGUUCCCUCUUACACACCAUAACACAUACACCAUGUGCACCAUGUUAGAUGUACAACGUUAGGCAACUAUGCAGAAUUAUGUAACUAUGAAAAACUAAAUUUUUCCCAUCUCACUUGUUUAUUUUCACUUGUGAAAGUGAGAAUAAUAAACAAACUUAAAAUUUACAAAUAAACAUUUCUAAAAUUAAAAAAAAAAACAGUGACCAAGCUUUAGCUGCUGUUGACGUAACACAGUAAAGGUGUUUAUACAUGGCAAAAACAUCAAAAUAAAUUGUGUAAAAGCAAUUAAGAAAAGUUAUGCGUUUUAUUCUCUGUACUUACCCAAUUUCACUCCAGGCUCUUCUUUUGGUUCUCACUGCCAGUGCCACAGUCAGGCUUGCUGCUGCGUCAGGAAUUGACCAAUCAGCACUGAAUGCGGAUUUUCAUGUCCAAUUAUAUUACACAGCGACAGCAAAUAAUUAUAAUAAAUUAAUAAUUUG